rnacentral:lncRNA from 1 species
UUGGCGCAAGUAUUGUAUCGAUGAGUCAGCUUGGCUGAAGCACAGGAGAAGAACCAUUAAGACAUCUGGCGAAAGAGAAACAUGUAUGCAAAUGAUGCAUGAAAAUGCAAUGCUUGAUUGUUUUUAUUUUCAAGGAACAUAUUAUUUUAUUUGCAAAUAUAUAAUCAUAACAAUUGCAUAAUUUGAUUGACCAUAAAAAAUCUUUUUUAUAUAUAUAAUUUGGAAGGAUUACACUGAGUACAAUUUUAGAAAGCAAAAUACAAAAAAACAAUAGAAAAG